rnacentral:misc_RNA from 1 species
UGAAAGGCGAAACGUAAUGUGAAUCGCAACUAACAGUGAAUCAUCGAAUCUUUGAACGCAGGCCGCACUCUCUGGCGUCUCAUUUCGGUGAAAUACCAGAAAGUAUCUAUGUAUGAGUGUCAGUUAACAGACUUUUGGUUCAUGAAGGCAUAUUAUUGAUUUUUAAUAGAAAAUUCAUGAAUACAAUGCAUGUCCGAGUGACAUGUCACUUUGAAUAUUUUUUUAGUCUGGCCUCAUAUAUGGAAGGUUACCCGCUGGAUUUAA